AAUCAAAAUUUAGGUCGCAAAAAAUUAGUAAUCACUUUUACUUUUCUAACCAAAUUAGCAUCAAAUCUAUUUUUUAAAUAAAAUUAGAUACCAAAUUGAAUUGAAGCGUGCUAAUAUUCGAGUGAAAAGUGCAAUUUCGUAUAUUUAUUUAGGUAUUUAUAAAAAAUUGACGAAAAAUGAUUUUUUUGCAAGUCGUACAUACAUUAGAGGCUAAACAUUUUUUCUAAAAUAUCGAAACAACUUUAAAAGUAACACUUAAAAAAAUAAAAUAAUAAACUGCAUUGAGGAGUUUAAAUAAACUGAGAAACUGAUAGUGAAAUAAAAAAUAUUAUAAUAAUUAAAAAUACACCAAAAAAGACAAAAAACCAAAAAUAAGAAAAUAAAAAAUAAACCAAAAAAAAAACAAAAAUAUAUAUGUAAAUUACAAAUAAUUAAAAAAAACUGCAUACACGAAAAACUUUUACAAAUAAAAAAUUUGAAUUGACUGUUUUUUCUUAGACUCUAUAAAAUAAAAGUGAAGCUAACAAAUCGAAUUGGUGAUUUCAAGUUAAUUAUUUCCGUAAAUUUUUAGACUUUAGAAAUUCUACGCAUAAGCACAAUUUUUCAAAACUUUCCAAUGACAAAAAAUAAGUAAAUGUAGUGUAGACACAACUUAAAAAAUUAUACGUUUUAAUAAUAAUUAUUAUAAAAACUAAUUAACGGUGCAGCAUAUAGAAAGUUAAGGAACAUACACUGAGAGAGAGAGAAUAGAAAGAGAGACUUCUGAAAAAAAAAACCAAAAAACCAAAAAAACGAUACACAACAACAAUUUAGCGCUUGAACAACAGAUCACAAUGAAAUUUGUACAUUUGUUGAGUUGCAUACAUUUUUAUAAGCAGCCUAAUAUAUGCAUGUAUGUAUGUAGUUGUAAAUUGGUUAAGAACACUUGGUAUAAGUAAUGAAAUAUGUACUAGGGAUGUUAUGUGGGGGGCAUAAAUGUAAUAAGGCUGUGAAUUGCUUUGUUAUGCGCGUCUGAAAUCGAACAGAAGGAGAGCAGGAAAGGGAGAGGGUGUGAGAGAAAGAGUAGGAGAGAAUGUGUGAGAGAAAGGGCGUGUUUGUGUGAAAGGGAGAUAGAGAAAGAGUGUGAGAGAAAGAGAGGGAGAGAAGAGAGAUUUAGAGGAAGAGAUAGUAGGAGUGAGAGAGAUAGAGUAAGAGAGAAGAAAAGCGAGAGCAGAAAUAGAGCUAGGGGAACGUAAUGAAAGAUUGCAAGCAGGAGUGUGAGAUUUAAAGAAAUAAUUAUGCAUAGUAAAGAUUUCCCGGCACGCAAAGCAAUGGAAUGUAGAAUAUCGCUUGAACUACGAAACGAGCGUGGUGGGUGAGAACACCGCGACAAAUUUGUGGGCGGGGCAGUAGAGCACUGAAUGGAAUACUGCAUAGAUUACACAAGUAAGGCAUCAACCGAAUGGGGGGAAAACUCUAUUAAUUGUGGGCUUCUAAAAACCAAAAGUAAAUUAAAAAAUUGUAAACUUACAAAUUUGUAAAUUGUAGCAAAAAAAGAAAAUAACGAUAACGAAAGAGUAGCAGCAAAGAGCGAAAGGCUUGAAGCAAAAUUCAAAAAUUGACGAAGACUAAAAUAUGUUUGUGUAUACUUAAAAAUUGAGAAAAUAACGACAAUGCUUGCAAAUUUGCGCCGAGCAUAAAAAGAGUGCCAGUCUUGUUUUUUUCCUCAUAAUUGAAAAAUUAAGCCUUUUCUCGCGCUAUUUCCAAACAGCAAAUAUGUAAAAAGUUGCGUGCAAACGAGACGAACUAAAUGCAAAAUGUACAGUUAAAGUAUACAAAACAAAACAAAAAAAAAAACACAAAAAAUUAGAAAUGACAAAAAUUACAAGUAUAAUAACCUAGGCUUGUUGAGCCAAUUAACUUGUAUAUGAGCGCAGCGGCUAGGUUUGAUACGAAACGAAAAGCGCGCUAAAGUGUAAAGUUUAUAAAUAAAUAAAUAAAAAAAUCUUGCAUCCUAACCUAUCCUAAAACUAAUCAUAAGAAAGCUAGCAAACACUUUAUGACUUGCAAGCAAGCAAAACAGUUUGAGAACUUAUGCAUAAAAUAUGUAUAUUGUCUGAAAUUUGGCAAAAUUUCUCCAGUUCACUUACACACAUAAAUAUACAUACAUAUAUAUAUUAAAUACUUAGUGCAAAUGCAGGCAGUGCUUGCAUGAUUAUAAAUUUAUUCUGAAUACAAUACGAUACAAAAAAAAAAAAAACAGAAAACAAUAAUAAAUUUAAAAAUGCUAUACGCUAUAAACCAAACAAAAACAACAAUGAUAAGCACUUCAAGCAACAGACGGCGCAGUAUAUACAGUGAAACCUUAAAUUUACGCACAUUGGUGAAAACAGUAUAAAACUGAAAUAUGCAUUUCAAUUUAAAACAAGACAAACAAGAAAAAAGAAAAGAAAUAAAAAAAUUCAACCAAAACCGAAAAUAGCUACAACAAACAGUUAUGUCUAAUAAUUAUCGUACUCGUAUAAUGCAAUGAAUACGUAAUUUUAAAUUUUUCAAAUUUAUAAAACAACAAAAAACCAUAUGUAAGUACGUUUCAAAAUAAUAUUUAGCAAACCAUGAAAAAUUACAGUAAAGUACUUACUUGCGCAAAACCAAAUAAAUCAAUUGACAAUGAACAACUACCAUAAAAAAGUAAAAUAAACAGCAACAAAACCAAAAACAAAAAAAAGUUGAAUAAAUAAAUGCGUUUUACAAUUUAGCAUUGAGAAAAUAAUUAGUACAUAAUUUCGAAGCAACAACAAGAAAAUAUACGAAAAACAAAUGCUACACUGCCACUAACCAGUUUAUGUAUUUUGAGUUUUAUAUGUAGUAAAAAGAUUUUUGGAUUUUAUAUUACUCGUAAAAAAGUGGCGGUUUACAAAGGUGCUUCAGCGGCGCACACAAACAGUGGUUUUAAUGAAACAAAAUUUGAAAAUCGUUAUUGAUAUUACGCAAAUACGGUUGUAGCCAUUUUCACAAAAACAAAGCGCGUUAUUAUUUGAUUUACAAUAAAAUUCACCAGCACGGAAAUACUCAUGAGGCACACAUUUUUCAGUGUAAGCCAGAAAAUGUACAUAUAAUAUAAUAUAAGACAAGAAGCUGCCAUUUCGGCUCGCUUCUCUAACCCACAUCUAUAACUUCCACAGAUUAUGUUCAAACAGAAAUGUCAGGUGGGGCCCGCGAAUUUCGUUGUUAAAGCUAAAAGUAGCGGUACCAUACUAUAACGCCAUAACCUUCAUCAUAGUAUGAACCAUAACUAUAUUUAUGCCAUCAAUGAUUGUUGCGCUUGCCAUAAGCAGCUGAUAUUUACAUACAUAUUUAUUAUUAGGCGGAAACUACAACCGAUGGUCGGUUUUGGCCGCUACCAAAAUGUUGCGCCAAUCGCCUCUGCAUUACGCGCCUUGACGCCAGUUAGAAACACCAAGGGCGGUCAAGUCGUCAUCUACUUGAUCUUUCCAACGUAGAUGAGAACGUCCUUUUUUGUGAGUUUCACCAGUGCAUUUCGAAAAGGGCAUCUUCUUUGCUGGAGCAUUAUUGUCUAUUCCUUCAACGGUACCUAGCCAGCGCAGCCGCUGAAUUUUAAUGCGCUUCAAUACGUCGAUAUCGGCGUACAGCUUGUAGUUUCAUCUUAUUCGAUAUGCAUCAUUUACGCAAAUCGGACCAUAGAUCUUGGAAAGAAUUUUUCUGUCGAAAGCUCCUAAUGACCAUCCAUCAAUGUUCGUCAAUGGCCAGGACUUAGCGUCAUACAAUAAGACCAGAAGGAUGAGUGAUAGAUAGAACUUUUUUUCGUGCAUUCAGAGAGGGCCUUACUUUUCAUUUGCCUACCCAGCCCAAAGUAGCACCUAUUGGCAAGAGUUUUUCUUCGCUGGAUCUCUUGGCUGAUGUUGUUUUUAGUAUUAAUGCUGGAUUCUAGGUAGACAACGUUCUUGACUACGCCAAACCCGUAAUUGUCAAUCGCAACCUGUUGUCCAAUACGCGUAGACUUUUUGGUUGUUGAAACAAGGUACUUUGUCUUGUCAUCGUUUACCGCAAGGCCCGCUCGACAGGACCCUUUUUCAAUUCUGGAGAAAGUUUGUCGAUGUCGAUGUUGGCGACGCGAAUAAUUUUCUCCAUCAUCAUAUUGAAAAAAUCGUAUGAUGAGGGAUCGCCUUGUCUGAAACCCCCGCUUCGAUUCAAAUGGCUCAGAAAGAUCUUUGCCAAUUCUCACUGCGCUGGUGGUGUUCAUUUGGGGCAAAGCGGCACCACUAAUUGUAGUACGUUGUACUACCGCUCUUAAUUGUUUCUAAGAAUUGUUUGAUUUAUACGAUGAAUAGCAAAGACUGACACCCCGAUUCUGGGUGAAUCCUUUUUGCAAAGAAGGGAAAUGCUAGUCUGGAAUAUUAAAAUUAUCAAAGAUACUACCAAUGUGAGCGUCAUAGAAAAAUACUAAUUGGCUGUAAAACAUACUAAAUAACAGCGCAUUGCUUCACAGAUGUUGGCAAUACAUUGUACGCUUGACUUAAAAUACAAUCAACGCAUGGAUUACCAAAUUCAUUCAAUUUGCUGUCUCGAUUCGCAAUUCCAUUGAAAUUGACCAGUAAAAGCAAUCGCAAAUUUAGUGUCGAGAUGCUAAGAAACUAAAACUGACUUAGGACAUUUCACCAUAUGCAAAAAGAUUAGCAAAUAGAUUGAAUUUGACUCACAUUUGGGACUUCUCGAAACUUUUGCUUACAACUAAAUAAUCGAGUAAGUAAUCGACCACUACUUUCUUACUCGUUCCUUUUUUUACAUAAUUGAUUAUCGGAAAGCUUUCUCGGUUUUCGAUUUUUCACUUAGAGUAAUUGGCAGUGAUUUAUAACAUAUUUCUUCGUUGUUGAAGGAGCAUCUCUAAAAAUGUACCCUUCUGAGUGUUAAAUAACUACGGCAAGGCAAAAAAUGUAAAUACAGGUAUCCCUCGUAUAACGCGAUAGUUACGUUCCAGAAGAAUUGCGUGUUAUGUAAUUCCGCGUUAUCUAAAACAUAGUUUUCAUAUAAAUUUGGGGGUUAUGUUCCAAUAGGUUUUUUUUUAAAUAAAAUACAUACAAAAUAACAGAUGCACAUAUAUUUCAACUCAAUACUAAAGUUCAGACUUUAUAAUACAAUUAAAAACACAAAACAAAAAAUUUGAAAACAAACUAAAACAAAUUAAAGGUUUAUUAAAAACUUUAUUGUUAUUCUUCAAACUUCAUAUGGUAAUUAAUCUGUUUCACUGUCUUCAAAGAUAUUUGCACGUGGGCGUUUUGGGGGAGCAAUAGCUUCAUCAGAAGAUGUUUCUUCAACAUAGUUUUCGCUAUUGGAUAAGGAACUCGUUCCGGGACCUUGUGGUUCUUCUACUGGUUUUAUAAUUGCAAAAUCUGUUAUCAGUUUUUGGGGGGUGGUUUUUUUAAGCUCCUUUUCAAUUUCGUAAUAAGGUGCUAGAUUAAUAUCUAUUCUAUCUAUCUAAGGCAAAAAAGGGUAAUUCCCGGUUUACAUUAAAAAUACAUUACAUAUUAUAAAUAUGUGGUACGCAAAUUAGUGUUACCAGAUUUUAUAAUUAUGUAUUUUCCCCUUCGCAUUAUAUAAGCCUAAAUUUCCCGUUGUACUGAAACCUAAUUUUUCCAAAUCGCGUUAUAUCGAAACCGCGUUGUAUAAGACCGCGUUAUACAAGGGAUACCUGUAUAUGACCUUCCAUUUUGAUAUAACCAACACUUGGUUACUAUUUAUCAGCGUUUUAAGUCAAGACAAAGAGAAUAAGCCUCAUUUGUUAAAAUAUAUUUUGCAAUAAUCCAUUUAAAAUUAAUUGGUCAACAAUUUCAUUACUUCACGAAAUUUCCUAUAUGAAUUUUAUUACAGAAACGGGUCGACAUGGCAGCUCGUUGUCUAUUUUCGUCCUCGGGCGAAAGUGAGUUUUAGCCAAACGAUAGCUGGAAAGUGAAAUAAAAGAAAAUAGAUAUAAAGUCUGAAAAUUAUAGACGUGGUCUGUUUCGCUGCCUAAAUUCAUUUAGCUUUUCCCACAACAAUAACAAAACCAAUUACUUUUAAUUUCAUUAUUUUACAAGUUAAUCUGCAACGCGGCCACCGGUAGCCGAAUGGGUUGGUGCGUGACUACCAUUCGGAAUUCAGAGAAAACGUAGAUUCGAAUCUCGGUGGAACACCAAAAUAGAGAAAACGUUUUUUCAAAUAGCGGUCGCUCCUCGCUUCGAUCAAGCACUAGAUUAAAACAACG